rnacentral:lncRNA from 10 species
AUGCCAGGGAGCACUUCCUGAAAAGAGAGUAGGAAGGGAGGUGCCAGGUGACCUCGCCUGACCACAAAUGUGAGGAACCCGAGGCCUACAGAGGAAGAGUCCAGCCAGUCCACAAACACCCACUGGGCACCAGCCAGGUGCUGGGGACACUGGGAUGAAUGUGACCAGCUCUGAAGAGGCUCCUCAUCAGGCUCCUUACAGGGUCCUCAUGACACAGUGUCAUGUGCUGCCUCCUUUCACCUCUGCUCCAGCUGUUGGAAGAAUGCCCUUCCCAGCCACCUGGAGCCCAUCCACCCCCACUCCCCCAUCUCUUCUUCGCAGAGCCUCACUUAAGUGCCCCCCAACCCCAAGCUGAGACUGAUGGACCCCAGGAGGAAGCUCGCUCCCUUCUCCCCCUCCCCCCUCCUCCUCCUCCGGGCCUCCCCAUGCUCUUGACCUCCCUUGCAACAUCUGUGCACUCUGCCCAGGGUAAUGGGUCCUGGAAUUGCCUCACUCUCUGCCCC